AGCAGCCGCGGUAAUUCCAGCUCCAAUAGCGUAUAUUAAAGUUGUUGCAGUUAAAAAGCUCGUAGUUGAAUUUCGGGGUCAGUAGAUUGGUCAUGCCACUGGUAUGUACUGGUCUCACUGAUUCCUCCUUCCUGAUGAGCCGUAAUGCCAUUAAUUUGGUGUUGCGAGGAAUCUGGACUGUUACUUUGAAAAAAUUAGAGUGUUUAAAGCAGGCUAACGCUUGAAUACAUUAGCAUGGAAUAAUGAAAUAGGACGUUCGAUCUUAUUUUGUUGGUUUCUAAGAUUGACGUAAUGAUUAAUAGGGAUAGUUGGGGGCAUUAGUAUUCAAUUGUCAGAGGUGAAAUUCUUGGAUUUAUUGAAGACUAACUACUGCGAAAGCAUUUGCCAAGGAUGUUUUCAUUAAUCAAGAACGAAAGUUAGGGGAUCGAAGACGAUCAGAUACCGUCGUAGUCUUAACCAUAAACUAUGCCGACUAGGGAUCGGAUGAUGUUAAUUUUUUAAUGA
rnacentral:sRNA from 1 species